rnacentral:rRNA from 1 species
GACGAACGCUGGCGGCGUGCUUGACACAUGCAAGUCGUACGGUAAGGCCCUUUCGGGGGUACACGAGUGGCGAACGGGUGAGUAACACGUGAGUAACCUGCCCACAACUUUGGGAUAACGCUAGGAAACUGGUGCUAAUACUGGAUAUGUGCUCCUGCUGCAUGGUGGGGGUUGGAAAGCUCCGGCGGUUGUGGAUGGACUCGCGGCCUAUCAGCUUGUUGGUGGGGUAGUGGCCUACCAAGGCGGCGACGGGUAGCCGGCCUGAGAGGGUGACCGGCCACAUUGGGACUGAGAUACGGCCCAGACUCCUACGGGAGGCAGCAGUGGGGAAUAUUGCACAAUGGGCGCAAGCCUGAUGCAGCAACGCCGCGUGCGGGAUGACGGCCUUCGGGUUGUAAACCGCUUUCAGCAGGGACGAAGCUUUUUGUGACGGUACCUGCAGAAGAAGCACCGGCUAACUACGUG